ACUGAGGUUGUUUUAUUUUGUAAAAAUUCUCAAGCAUACUUACUUUGCAUUUAUUGCCUGAUCAAAACGGGAUCCGAGGAGGGGAAUGUCAUACCCUUAGAUCAAAGACUUUGGAAAUUAAAAACUUUGUCAUCUCUUGCUGGCAUAUUGCUUAUUAGAGGGACCAUGGGCUAUCAUUUUCAUUUCAUUUUUUUUAAGUGGAUACCGAGGUACCCCUAAUUCUACUGCCGGACACUUGUCCAUUUUUUUUGCGAGGUUGUCGAGCACUUGCUCCUUUUUAUUUCCUCGAAAUAUCUCUAUUUUUACAUAGCCCAUGCCUCUAAUGCAAUAAUACUUCAGAAGAGUGAAUCUUACUGAAAUAGUGUCUUGAUAUUGGGAGCAUGAUAAAUCUCUCAACAAGGGUCUAACUCAUUUUGAACAAACUCAAUACAGAGUAGAUAGCUUUAUAAUCAUCAUUAAUAUUUUUAUUUUUAUCAGGCAUAUAAAACACUGAGGAUGGUAGCUAGAAUUUUGAAUAUUUUGAAAUAAAUUCUCCAAGCAACAAUGAUAUCAAGAAUAAGAAACUCAUACUCUACCAUCACAUAUUCCAUAUUGACUUAAGUAACACAGGGUUUUAAAAUGAUUUUAUAAUAAUUGCAAGUUUUCAGGAAAUAUCAC
rnacentral:lncRNA from 1 species